AAAUUAAAAUAAAUAGACCAUUCCAGAUGGUGAUCUACCCUUCCCCCCAAUUAUCACAAAAGAAGCUAUAAUCACUUAUUCUUAAUGAUUAAUGAUACCUUUACAAUAAUGUACAAUCCAAUGUUUAAAAUUCUACCACUUCAGUUUGGUUUCAUCCUAUAAAUUUUCAACAGAUGUCUUAAAAUUUAAAAGCAGGCUGAUUAGUUUGGAGCCAGACUUCAAGUAGAGCUAACAUUUGGUGAAUAAGAAAGCAUCAUUUUACAUUUUGGAUGUAUGAAAGAAAACUUGACCAUUUGAAGAUGUAUGAAUAAAGAAAUGUACUAUAGAUACUACUUUAGGAAAACACUGUUUGUAGUCGUGAAAGGUGCCAAAUUGGCAGAGGCUCACGUUUCUUCUCUUUACACCAAACAGCAGAGAGAGAUCAUCAUUGCCUGAAUUUAGUUUUGUGACUACAAGAGCAAGACCUGUUCCUGUCCGGAGACGACUGUUAAUGAUAAUAUCAUCCUAUCAUUUUGUUGCCCUUUAUCAAUUGAAUAGAUGUUUACAUGUACUAUAAUUAGCAUUUUAUCUUUACAGUACACCUGAGUCCAGAAGUAUCUGAAUGUGUGUUCUGUGUGACCUUAUUCAUAAAGGUUUUUUCCCCUUACAUUAUAGCCACUAUUUUUUUAAACACCUUAAAGAAGGAACAAGGCCUCUUAGUUUCCUAAUAUGAGUACAUCAACCUCAGCCAAAUUGCGAAUUGUGUCUGGGAAAUCUAUAAAGCCAUGAUACUGUGUGUGUUCAUKAGCAUGAACAAUUUAUAAUGAAGAAAAUGAAUUAAAAAGUUAAGCAUAGUUUGGUUUUAAUUUUUUCUUGGUUUUAAGUUAUAUUUCUGAGAUUACAAUAGUCACUUAAAAUAAUUUUGAACAAAUGAGAUAUUUUUACACACUGUAAUGCUUGCCCAUUUCUUAAUGAAUAUACUUCAUUGCCAGCACCACUUACCCAAAUAUUUUUUUUAAUUCUUAGCUCUUCAAAAUCAACAAGGAGAAUAAUUUUCUUUUUGAGUAAUAAAUGAUGAUCUGUGGAUUAUAAAUAUUGAAAGAGAUCUAUUAAAUGUCCAAUUUACACAGCUUUUCCUGUUUUCUUCACUUGUAAUCAAACAUCAAAAGAUGAUCAAAGAUGAGCAAGGGGAAAUAGUAUAAUGUGUCUAACAUUGUUAAAGACUAUAUAGUUUCAGCUGCUUUAAAAAGUGUAUAGUGCUUGGUUCCGUAGCACAUAUACUAAAAUUGGAAUGAUACAGAGAAGAUUAGUAUGGCCCAUACUCAAGGAUAACACAAAUUCGUGAAGCAUUCCAUAUUUUUAAAAAUGUGUGUACAAAUUAUUUAUAAACAGUGGCUUAGAAUUACCAAGACUAUGAUUAAAUCUCAUGUACACUCAAUAUUCUUUUUAAAAAAUUUUCUCAGUAUUCCUUCAUAGAUUCUUAGGCAUUUAAGCACUCAAGUCUUUAUUAGAAAAGUCAAGUUACACUGAUUCUAUUCACCAUUUUUUUUAAGUUCAUCCAGACAUAMUUUUUUUGUGUGCAAAGCUGACUAUUCUACAUUAUUUUCCCCUUGAAUAUGCAUCGUGAUUGUCUUCAUAAAAAAUGAAAAGAAUAAUAAAUACAUAGUAUUAUCUGUUUUGAUCCACAUUGGUUACACAGGCAUGGUUAAGGGAAAAGUCAUAUUGUGAAAAGUCUUCUGAUAGUUAUUAACAAGGCAUUUGUUUUCUUAAACUUGACUUUUUUGAGGGGGCCGGGGGCACUCGCAUUUACAAACUAGCAGGUAGCUAGCUACCGGGAAUUCAAAAACAUUUUCCCAGAUUAGUUUGGUACUUUUGAUUUUCRAGGAAGGACCCUCUGCCCCUAAAGUAGUAGUUCAGCUGCUAGAUUAGAACCCAAAGAACAUCUUCUGAAGAGACCCUACUUGCUCUUAAGUUUUUUUUUAAUGGAUGUGGACCAUCUACYACCACCUUCAACUUUGUCAUGGUUUUUCCCUUUGCUUUUAAAUUAAAGCAAAUUGAAUAUGCCAGUGGGAAUCAAAAGUCAAGAUGAUUUGAUUCUCAUUAAGAUCAUUGUGUUUUUUGAAAAUUGCUGUGAGAUCCAGUUGGUCAGUUAUGUAUUUAAAUCCUCAUAUGUUGAUUAAAGAUAGGUUCUCAUUUUUUAAAUUUUCUUAAAUAGGAUUCUCAUGGAGCUAUGUGUAGAUAACUGUACAGAAUCACUUUUAUGUAAUGAAUGAAGUGGUUUACCUCUGCAUGAUUGCAUUAUGGAAGCCUUUUAUAUAUCUUUAUAUUUUUCAAUAUACUUAGAUUUUACACUAUUAGCCACUCUAGUCAUGCUAUAUUUGUUUUUUUAAUAGAGUUUAUAAAUAUUUAUGCUCAAAGUACAGAUCAACUGAAUAUUUUUGGUCUUGUUUACAAGAUAAUACUUUAAAGUGAUACAGGCCCCUCAAGUGUCUUAGGAAAAAGUCGUUGGUGCUACAAAACCUUUCGUUAAUCAUUUUGAACCUGUUGUCUAGACUUUGCUAGGCUUUAAUCUAUGAUUGCUUAUGAUUUAUUCUAAUCUAGCAGCAUAAUUAUAAAAGUGGUUCACGCUGAGUCAAGUAAAGAGCCCAGCCUAUUUGAAACACCUCAUAAUUUAAGGAAAUGGUACAGAAUGACUGUACACUUAUUUGUGCCCAGCUUCCCCUAAAAGAUUAUUUUGAUAAGAAGGUUAUUAAUUUGACUAAAAUUUUAAAUGUAUUCAGCAUGGCUGUUUUCUCAUACGUCAAUUGGAAAACUUCUCUAGUACUAAAAUAUUAUGUAAUCUUACUCUGCUUCAAGUUGCCUUCUUUCACUCAACAGUAGGCAGAGUAAUUCUUGACUAUUUGCAGAAUACUUGAUGAGUUAUUAAGAGAUGUAUUAUUACAUUGUACAAGUUUUGCAUUGAUGUGUAGAGUUUUUGUUUUGUCCCCAAAUUUUAUUCCAGCACCUUAGUGAAUGUUCUUAAGAUACUAUUGUUAAGUAUCAGCAAAGCAUUCAUAUAUGUUUACUUUUGAUUCUCAGAAUCCUGAACUUGUUUUGAGUGGUACUACUUCAGAACAUAUUGUCUGGCACAAGAUUUCCUUUAACAAGUGGUUUGUUUUAACUUAGUUUCUGUGGACUGCUGAAUCUAAAAACACCAAAGGAGUUUUUUCUUGUCUGAAGACUGGAUUGUUCCAGUGUUUAAUACCUGUGCCCAUAAGUAUCCCAUUUCAUGAAUGUGUGUUGGCAUGGGGAAAAAUAUUCCCUGCUCUUUGAGUGGAGCGAAAGUAAUUGGUUAAGCUGUAGCAGCUUUUUGUUUAUUUUUAAAGUGAUAAUAAAACUUGAACUUAAAAAGGCAAAACUUGAACUAGAAACUACUCUUGUAUGCUUAGAAUGUUUAUAGUAUUACAUGGUUUAUGUGGGGUUGUCAACAUUUUUAUUAUUUAUAGUUGAAUUAUGUUUUGUUUGUUAAAUAUCCAUAAUGUUUAUUAUUUUUAUAUUUCAAAAAUUUUAAAAUAAAAUAGUCUUACUAAAAACAGUUGUUAACGUUUAGAAUUGUCCUACAUCUUGCAUCAGCUAUAUUAUUAUGAACUAGAAAGAUAUGUACCCAAUGGGCAUUAACAGUUGAGAAUUCUGAAAAUUGUCUGUACAAAGAAAUGGCUCCAUAUUUUCUCUUGCCUCUUCACCCCUCAUUCUUGUUUUUUUAAUUUAAUUUUGGUUCUGAUGUGUUGAUAGCUUAAUAACUCCUCUCACAUAUGCAUACAUAAAUUUUCAUUACCCUUUUCCUCUCUAGUUUCUGCCUCUUCACUGGUGGAAUUUUUCUCUAUUCAUUUGUGGCCAACAAUUUAGGAGUGAUAAGUAUAGAAAUACUAUUAUGAUGUCAAAGGAGGAAUUCCAUGGAUUUCUAAAAGUGAAGUAUCAAUCCCCAAGGCCAUUGAAAGCUUUCAAAUUUCUCUUGAAUUUUCACCUGAAGUUUUUUCCCUUCUGAUCUGAUUUGGCCUACUUUCCCAGCAUUUAGCAUGUUCAUUUCAUAUUUAAUUUUAUCAAGUGGAUUUUAUGAAAACUUGCAAAAAUGCAUUUUCAUCUCACUGUUUCAAUAAAAAAAUCUAAAGCGAUAACGGUUGUGAAAUGGAGAACUUUUGUUAAUCUUGGUAAAAUUAUUUUAACAGUAUAGUCAUUUUAUAUAUACACGUAUAUUUGCAGAUGUAUGUGUAUAUAUUCAUGCCUUUAGAGUAUUUGAAGAUUGUGUUAGCCUUCAUUUAA